rnacentral:rRNA from 1 species
UACGGAGGGGGCUAGCGUUGUUCGGAAUUACUGGGCGUAAAGCGCACGUAGGCGGAUAUGUCAGUCAGGGGUGAAAUCCCGGGGCUCAACCUCGGAACUGCCUUUGAUACAGCAUAUCUUGAGUCCGAUAGAGGUGGGUGGAAUUCCUAGUGUAGAGGUGAAAUUCGUAGAUAUUAGGAAGAACACCGGUGGCGAAGGCGGCCCACUGGAUCGGUACUGACGCUGAGGUGCGAAAGCGUGGGGAGCAAACAGG